CAAACUGGAGAUGGCGACCGGCGCACGGGUGAGUAACACGUAUCCAACCUGCCGAUAACUCCGGAAUAGCCUUUCGAAAGAAAGAUUAAUACCGGAUAGCAUACGAAUAUCGCAUGAUAUUUUUAUUAAAGAAUUUCGGUUAUCGAUGGGGAUGCGUUCCAUUAGUUUGUUGGCGGGGUAACGGCCCACCAAGACUACGAUGGAUAGGGGUUCUGAGAGGAAGGUCCCCCACAUUGGAACUGAGACACGGUCCAAACUCCUACGGGAGGCAGCAUG
rnacentral:rRNA from 1 species